rnacentral:rRNA from 1 species
GACGAACGCUGGCGGCGUGCUUAACACAUGCAAGUCGAACGGUGAAGCCCUUCGGGGUGGUUCAUUGGGGAACGGGUGGGUAACACAUGAGCAACCUGCUCCUGGCUCUGGGACAACCACUUGAAACGGUGGCUAAUACCGGAUACGACCCGCCUCGGCAGCAAGUGUGGGUGGAAAGGUUUUCGGCUGGGGAUGGGCUCGUGGCCUAUCAGCUCGUUGGUGAGGUGAAGGGUCACAAAGGCGCCGCCAGGUAGCCGGCCUGAGAGGGGGAGCGGCCACACUGGGACUGAGACACGGACCAGUCGCCUACGGGAGGCAGCAGUGGGGAACAUGGCACAAUGGGCGAAAGCCUGAUGCAGCGACGCCGCGUGAGGGAUGACGGCCUUCGGGUUGUAAACCUCUGUCAGCUCAGAAGAAGCGAAAGUGACGGUAGGAGCAGAAGAAGCACCGGCUAACUACGUG